rnacentral:ncRNA from 1 species
ACUAAAACGAUGAUAAGAAUAAGUAGCUUCUUUUAGCUUGACAGAGAGCGCUCAGUAGCUGUAAAAGCGUAGUUAAACGGAGUGAAAUGCCUCUUUGAGUGCGACUAUGAUUAAAGUAGUAGUCGUCGGAAUCAUUCACGUUAACGAAUGAAAAAGGAAGUUUAUUUAGCUUCAAAGAAAAGUGGGACCACGGUAAAGCGUCUUUUGA